rnacentral:rRNA from 1 species
GAUGAACGCUGGCGGCGUGCUUAACACAUGCAAGUCGAACGGUGAGGCAGAGCUUGCCCUGUGGAUCAGUGGCGAACGGGUGAGUAACACGUGAGCAACCUGCCCCUGACUCUGGGAUAAGCGCUGGAAACGGCGUCUAAUACUGGAUAUGAGCUGCGACCGCAUGGUCAGCAGUUGGAAAGAUUUUUCGGUCUGGGAUGGGCUCACGGCCUAUCAGCUUGUUGGUGAGGUAAUGGCUCACCAAGGCGUCGACGGGUAGCCGGCCUGAGAGGGUGACCGGCCACACUGGGACUGAGACACGGCCCAGACUCCUACGGGAGGCAGCAGUGGGGAAUAUUGCACAAUGGGCGAAAGCCUGAUGCAGCAACGCCGCGUGAGGGAUGACGGCCUUCGGGUUGUAAACCUCUUUUAGCAGGGAAGAAGCGGAAGUGACGGUACCUGCAGAAAAAGCGCCGGCUAACUACGUG